GACGAGGGACCCUAGCGUUGUUCGGAAUCAUUGGGCGUAAAGCGGAUGCAGGUGGCAUUGUAAGUCAGGUGUGAAAGCCCAGAGCUUAACUCUGGAAGUGCAUUUGAUACUGCGAUGCUUGAGUGCCGGAGAGGUUACUAGAAUUCCAGGUGUAGUGGUGAAAUACGUAGAUAUCGGGAGGAACACCAGUGGCGAAGGCGACUACCUGGCCCAUUCUUGACGCUGAGGCGCGAAAGCUAGGGGAGCGAACGGG
rnacentral:rRNA from 1 species